CCCAGGACAGGUGUCUGGUGACGGUUUCCGAAAAGCAGACAGACCAAAGGAAAGCUUUCCUCUUGUGUCUCCCUUCGUCGCCACUAACACGCAGUUGCUGCAAGCCUGGCGUGAAGAGUGGACACCCAGUCUGGCCUUGCCUUCAUUGUGAGCUGCCGCGCCUCGGCCUAGCAUGUCGGAAGCGGGUGA
rnacentral:lncRNA from 12 species